GUGGUUGAAUGGUUACGAUGUCCACUUUGUAAGCGGAUGAUCAUGGGUUCAUUUCCCAUC
rnacentral:tRNA from 1 species